rnacentral:rRNA from 1 species
GGGUAACCUGCCUGCAAGACGGGGAUAACUCCGGGAAACCGGGGCUAAUACCGGAUAACAUCUUCCUUCGCAUGAAGGAAGGUUGAAAGGCGGCGCAAGCUGCCGCUUGCAGAUGGGCCCGCGGCGCAUUAGCUAGUUGGUGAGGUAACGGCUCACCAAGGCGACGAUGCGUAGCCGACCUGAGAGGGUGAUCGGCCACACUGGGACUGAGACACGGCCCAGACUCCUACGGGAGGCAGCAGUAGGGAAUCUUCCGCAAUGGACGAAAGUCUGACGGAGCAACGCCGCGUGAGUGAUGAAGGUUUUCGGAUCGUAAAGCUCUGUUGCCAGGGAAGAACAAGUACCGUUCGAACAGGGCGGUACCUUGACGGUACCUGACCAGAAAGCCACGGCUAACUACGUGC